GACAGAAUCCUCGAGCGUUACCCGGAUUUAUUGGGCGUAAAGGGUCCGUAGGUGGCGCAGUAAGUUUUGAGUUAAAGCUCUUCGGCUUAACCUUAGAGAUGCUCAAAAUACUGCUGUGCUUGAGGGCGUUAGGGGUUAACGGAACCGACGGAGUAGGGGUGAAAUCCGUUGAUAUCGUCGGGAACACCAAAAGCGAAGGCAGUUAACUAGGACGACCCUGACACUGAGGGACGAAAGCGUGGGGA
rnacentral:rRNA from 1 species